rnacentral:lncRNA from 1 species
AAUUUAUUAGAUUUAAAAGGUGUUUAAAUCUAAAAUAAAAUCUCUUUGUUAAUAAUUCUCAUGCAAAGAACCAUCAUAUUUUUGUCUGAAAAAUCUGCACAGUUUAAAAUUGAAAUUGUUUCAAUUACAUGAACCUGUUUAGAUUAGAUCUAAAGUAGUUUCAUGCUUAUUUUACUUGCAUUUUGAUUAUAAAUCAAACAUGCAAC